UGGUGGAGUGAUUUGUCUGGUCGAUUCCGAUAACGAACGAGACGCUCAGAACUAAAUAAUGCAUGCUGAAACUCACGUUUUAUGCACAUUUCUUAUUUCGACAACUUGGUUCUACCAAGAGGAAGAAGAGCGCAAUAACA
rnacentral:rRNA from 1 species